rnacentral:rRNA from 1 species
ACGCACGCUGGCGGCGUGCUUCACGCAUGCCGGUCGUACGGUAAGGCCCUUUCGGGUGUACACGAGUGGCGAACGGGUGAGUAACACGUGAGUAACCUGCCCACAACUUUGGGCUAACGCUUGGGUACUGGUGCCAAUACUGGAUAUGAGCUCCUGUUGCAUGGUGGGGGUUGGAAAGCUCCGGCGGUCGUGGAUGGACUCGCGACCUAUCAGCUUGUUGGGGGGGUAGUGGAAUACCAAGGGGGCGACGGGUAGACGGCCUGAGGAGUUGACCGGCCACAUUGAGGCUGAGAACCGGCCGCGACUCGUACGGGCAGCCGCUGUGCGGCAAAUUGCAAAAGGGGCGCCGCCCCGGUGCUGCAACCCCACGCGCGGUAUGACGGCCUUAGGGUUGUAAACCGCCUUCAGCAGGGACGAAGCUUUUAUUGACGGUACCUGCAAAAGAAGCACCGGCUAACUACGUG